ensembl:lncRNA
GUCUUGCUGCCGCCGCCAGCCCGAGGCCGGGUGUCACGAGACGGCGGCUCGCGUGCUGGUCUCGAGCGUCGCUCCUUCGGCUCUUCUCCUGGGUGCGCCUCUCCCCGUGGCCCCAGGUCUCCUCGUUUGGGGCUGAGGCCGCGACGCCAGAGCGGACGCCUGCGGCCGACGUCGAGCGCGGGGUUCGCGUCCGGGCGGCGCUGCGCCUCCGGCGUCUCCGCCUCGUGGUCCUCCGACGCCUGCCCGCGGAGGAGGGUGCGGCGCGCGGGGGGCGGCGGGAGUGAGCGCUCCGAGCCCGGCGUCGUCCUGGGUCUCGGCCGCCGCGGAGAGGGAGGUCUGGUGGCGCCCGAGAGAGCGUGAGAGACGGAGGCCGGGCGGCUGGAAGCGAGGCUCCCCGGUGGCGGCCGAGGGUGCGCCGUUGGCUCUCUCCGGCCUGCCCUCCGUGCGACAGCGGCAGGCACAGGCCAGCCGGCGGGCCGGGCGGGGCCGCAGGGUGUGGGCCGCAGAGUCGCCUUGCGUCUGCUCGGCCGUCGCUUGCGGGCUCAGUGUCGCCGCCUGGGCUCGGGGGCGGAGACCCGCCGCCGCUGCCCGCCCGGCUGUUCGCGGAGGGCUCCCGCGGAGCCGCCCUGGCCGCGCUCGCACCUCGGGCCCCAGCGUCGCCUUCCGUGCCUGUGGCCGGCCUGCCUGGCGCGGACGCCCCCGGGGCGGGCGCUCCGCACCUGCUGACGCGGUUUUAGUCCUCCCGGAGUCUGCAGUCCGACUUGGAAGGGAGAGGCUCAGGGAGCGGCGUUGACUCAGGCGAGGGCAUUGUGGCCAAGGAGGGAUGGCGCGUCUGCGGUUUUCCUCUCUCCAAAGUGGACGCGGGACGCUAGUGUGCCCUUUUGUUGGCUCUGGACGGCGUCGUCUGCGUGGGGUGUCGAACAGUACGCGGUGCCGGCACCGCGGGGCGAAGUCGGCGCUGAGAACGGCAGAGCUGAAAGGUGGAAAGGACCAGGGUCAGUGUUGGGAUCCUCCUUGAGUCGCUGAAUCCGCUCUGGAACUUUUCCUUCGGAGCUGCCACCCACAGUCCUGAAGUCAUCUCACAGUUUGUGAUCAGUAAUGAUUGGUGCAGAGUGCAUAUGUCAACAUGGAGGUACCAAUGUCUGGCGACAGCCAUCGCAGUCUUCCCUGUCUCUUGGAAAAAAUGUUGUGUUUUCGGAGAUUGAAUAUCGAGAGGAAGAAAAUGGUUCCUAGUUUUUGGUGACAGACCUUGAUCUGGGAGAUGAGGAAACAAACCUGCAGCCCAGAAGAGAGCUCUCACCAGAACCUGAC